rnacentral:rRNA from 1 species
AACGAACGCUGGCGGCAGGCUUAACACAUGCAAGUCGAGCGCGUAGCAAUACGAGCGGCAGACGGGUGAGUAACGCGUGGGAAUCUACCGUACCCUACGGAAUAGCUCCGGGAAACUGGAAGUAAUACCGUAUACGCCCGAAAGGGGAAAGAUUUAUCGGGGUAUGAUGAGCCCGCGUUGGAUUAGCUAGUUGGUGGGGUAAAGGCCUACCAAGGCGACGAUCCAUAGCUGGUCUGAGAGGAUGAUCAGCCACAUUGGGACUGAGACACGGCCCAAACUCCUACGGGAGGCAGCAGUGGGGAAUAUUGGACAAUGGGCGCAAGCCUGAUCCAGCCAUGCCGCGUGAGUGAUGAAGGUCUUAGGAUUGUAAAGCUCUUUCACCGAUGAAGAUAAUGACGGUACCGUAAGAAUAAGCACCGGCUAACUACGUGCCAGCCGCCGCGGUAACAC